rnacentral:rRNA from 1 species
CCUACGGGAGGCAGCAGUGGGGAAUAUUGGGCAAUGGGCGAAAGCCUGACCCAGCGACGCCGCGUGAGGGACGAAGGCCUUCGGGUUGUAAACCUCUUUCAGCAGGGAAGAAGCGAAAGUGACGGUACCUGCAGAAGAAGCACCGGCUAACUACGUGCCAGCAGCCGCGGUAAUACGUAGGGUGCAAGCGUUGUCCGGAAUUAUUGGGCGUAAAGAGCUCGUAGGUGGUUUGCCACGUCGGAUGUGAAAACCUGAGGCUUAACCUCAGGCCUGCAUUCGAUACGGGCAGACUAGAGUGUGGUAGGGGAGACUGGAAUUCCUGGUGUAGCGGUGAAAUGCGCAGAUAUCAGGAGGAACACCGGUGGCGAAGGCGGGUCUCUGGGCCAUAACUGACACUGAGGAGCGAAAGCGUGGGGAGCAAACAGGAUUAGAUACCCUGGUAGUCCACGCCGUAAACGGUGGGGCACUAGAUGUGGGGACCUUCCACGGUCUCUGCGUCGCAGCUAACGCAUUAAGUGCCCCGCCUGGGGAGUACGGCCGCAAGGCUAAAACUCAAAGGAAUUGACGG